rnacentral:antisense_RNA from 1 species
UACUGACAUCAGAGACUCGUUCUGAGAGCCCUGACCUACCGCCAGAUAAGCAUUCAUGCCCAGCUCUUUCAUCUGUUCUUCACCAAUAACUUUGGUAACCAGAUUGUCAGCGCUGUCAGCAAGCUGGCGUGCCUGUGAUGCAAGGUACGCUGCAUUACAGAUAUUCGGCGGCAUAUUAACCAGAUCUCUUGU